UAAGGAAUAUUGGGCAAUGGACGAAAGUCUGACCCAGCCAUGCCGCGUGGAGGAUGAAGGUCCUCUGGAUUGUAAACUUCUUUUAUUUGGGAAGAAACCCGGAUUUUCUAAUUCGGUUGACGGUACCAGAUGAAUAAGCACCGGCUAACUCCGUGCCAGCAGCCGCGGUAAUACGGAGGGUGCAAGCGUUAUCCGGAUUCACUGGGUUUAAAGGGUGCGUAGGCGGGCAGGUAAGUCAGUGGUGAAAUCUCCGGGCUUAACCCGGAAACUGCCGUUGAUACUAUCUGUCUUGAAUAUCGUGGAGGUAAGCGGAAUAUGUCAUGUAGCGGUGAAAUGCUUAGAUAUGACAUAGAACACCCAUUGCGAAGGCAGCUUACUACACGAUCAUUGACGCUGAGGCACGAAAGCGUGGGGAGCAAACA
rnacentral:rRNA from 1 species